rnacentral:rRNA from 1 species
GUGCAGCAGGCGCGAAACCUCCGCAAUACACGAAAGUGUGACGGGGCCAUCCCGAGUGCCGUCCGCUGAGGACGGCUUUUCCCCAGUGUACAUAGCUGGGGGAAUAAGGAGAGGGCGAAGCCGUGGUGGUCAGCCGCCGCGGUAAGUACCAGCUCUCCGAGUGGUGGGGACGCUUAUUGGGCCUAAAGCAUCCGUAGCCGGCU